UGGAUGGAGGCAUGGAGGUGUGGGUGGGUGGGUGGAUGGGUGGAUGGGUGAAUGGGUGGAUGAAUGGAGGGAUGGGUGGAUGGAGGGAUGAUGGAUGGUAGGGGUAGAUGGGUGGAUGGAGGGAUGGGUGAAUGUAUUGAUGGUAGGGUGAAUGAAGGGAUGGGUGGAUAGAUGGCUGGGUGGAAGGAUGGGUGGAUUGGUGGAUAGAUAGGUGAAUGGAUUGAGGGAUGGGCGGAUGAUGGAUGGUGGAUGGAUGGGUGGGUAGGUGGAUCCAUGGAUGGAUGCACAGAGGGAAAAAGGCACAUUGUAUCAGACUCCAAAGGGAGAAUUAAUUGC
rnacentral:lncRNA from 1 species